UUUCAGCCUAGUCAUACUAGUAGGUAACUUAUAAUCCUAUAAGCCAAAGUAAGCUGCAUAAACCAAACUAACCACAAGCACUGUCACCAUUGAAAAUCAACAGAAUUUACAACUUUGAAUUCCAAAACGC
rnacentral:sRNA from 1 species